GGGGACGAACAAAUAAAAAAUAUUUUCGAAUAAAAACUCCAACCCCUGAGGGUUUUCCAAAGCUGCACCCCUGAGGGUCUUCCUGAUGGUUUGCCGGAAGUACGGGCCACCAGGCAUAGGAAUUCUUUCGAACCAUCUUAUGAAGAUGGUUGUCCAGGCAUCCCGAGGGUGUCAAACAUGUGCCUCGAUUACACAUGAAGACGAAUUCCAAAGCAGCAGGGAGGUUGUCCCUGGUUUUCACGCUCCAAACAAGACACAAAUAUAUAGAUUCGAAAAAAGAUAUACAAAAGGUUCUAAAUUUGUUGUUAAUAGCAUGCUUACAUGAUAGCGUGGUCGGAGGGAACGUACCAUUGCUA
rnacentral:lncRNA from 1 species